rnacentral:sRNA from 1 species
UUUUUCUGUUUGGGUCACCUGAGUUCCAGAGUAUGACGGGGAUUCAGAUUGAGAGGGUAGGACAAACGUGGCCUCCCCCUUGUAGCUGAGACCGUGGAGGGGGACAACAUGGAGGAGGACAAUGUAGAGAGCGAGGAGGAAGGACCCUGGGAGCCCCCUGCGCUCCCAAUCCUGACAUGGCCAGUGCUACAGUCUCGCACAGGGCUGGUCUAUGACCAAAGUAUGAUGAAUCACUGCAACUUGUGGGACAGCCACCACCCUGAGGUACCCCAGCGCAUCUUGCGGAUCAUGUGCCGUCUGGAGGAGCUGGGCCUUGCCGGGCGCUGCCUCACCCUGACACCGCGCCCUGCCACAGAGGCUGAGCUGCUCACCUGCCACAGUGCUGAGUACGUGGGUCAUCUCCGGGCCACAGAGAAAAUGAAAACCCGGGAGCUGCACCGUGAGAGUUCCAACUUUGACUCCAUCUAUAUCUGCCCCAGUACCUUCGCCUGUGCACAGCUUGCCACUGGCGCAGCCUGCCGCCUGGUAGAGGCUGUGCUCUCAGGAGAGGUUCUGAAUGG